CCUACGGGAGGCAGCAGUGAGGAAUAUUGGUCAAUGGGCUUACGCCUGAACCAGCCAAGUCGCGUGAGGGAAGAAUGCCCUAUGGGUUGUAAACCUCUUUUGUCAGGGAGCAAUUGGCGCUACGUGUAGCGUUAUCGAGAGUACCUGAAGAAAAAGCAUCCGCUAACUCCGUGCCAGCAGCCGCGGUAAUACGGAGGAUGCGAGCGUUAUCCGGAUUUAUUGGGUUUAAAGGGUGCGUAGGCGGAAUGCCAAGUCAGCGGGAAAAUCACGGGGCUCAACCUCGCUCCGCCGUUGAAACUGGCGAUCUGGAGUGGGCGAGAGGUAUGCGGAAUGCGAGGUGUAGCGGUGAAAUGCAUAGAUAUCACGCAGAACUUC
rnacentral:rRNA from 1 species